GUGGGGAAUAUUGGACAAUGGGCGGAAGCCUGAUCCAGCCAUGCCGCGUGUGUGAAGAAGGUCUUCGGAUUGUAAAGCACUUUAAGUUGGGAGGAAGGGCAGUAAGCUAAUACCUUGCUGUUUUGACGUUACCGACAGAAUAAGCACCGGCUAACUUCGUGCCUGCAGCCGCGGUAAUACGAAGGGUGCAAGCGUUAAUCGGAAUUACUGGGCGUAAAGCGCGCGUAGGUGGUUUUGUAAGUUGGAGGUGAAAUCCCCGGGCUCAACCUGGGAACUGCCUCCAAAACUGCAUGACUAGAGUACGGUAGAGGGUAGUGGAAUUUCCUGUGUAGCGGUGAAAUGCGUAGAUAUAGGAAGGAACACCAGUGGCGAAGGCGACUACCUGGACUGAUACUGACACUGAGGUGCGAAAGCGUGGGGAGCAAACAGGAUUAGAAACCCGUGUAGUCC
rnacentral:rRNA from 1 species